GAUGAACGCUAGCGGCAGGCCUAAUACAUGCAAGUCGAACGGUAAAUAUUUAGCAAUAGAUAUGAGAGUGACGUACGGGUGCGUAACACGUAUGCAACCUACCCUUUACAGGCGGAUAGCUCGGGGGAAACUCGAAUUAACCCGCCGUAAUAUAAUUGAAAGGCAUCUUUUGAUUAUUAAAUCUACGGAGGUAAAGGAUGGGCAUGCGUCUGAUUAGUUAGUUGGCGGGGUAACGCCCACCAAGACGAUGAUCAGUAGGGGAACUGAGAGGUUGAUCCCCCACACUGGCACUGAGAUACGGGCCAGACUCCUACGGGAGGCAGCAGUAGGGAAUAUUGGUCAAUGGAUGGAAGUCUGAACCAGCCAUGCCGCGUGCAGGAAGAAGGCCCUUUCUGGGGUUGUAAAACUGCUUUUGCCGGGGGAUAAAAUGACCUUGCGAGGUUAAUUGAAGGUACCUGGUGAAUAAGCCACGGCUAACUACGUGCCAGCAGCCGCGGUAAU
rnacentral:rRNA from 1 species